rnacentral:tRNA from 1 species
GCGGGAAUAGCUCAGUUGGUAGAGCAUCAGCCAUCCAAGCUGAGGGUCGCGGGUUCGAACCCCGUUUCCCGCUCCA